UGGGGAAUAUUGGACAAUGGGCGCAAGCCUGAUCCAGCCAUGCCGCGUGAGUGACGAAGGCCUUAGGGUUGUAAAGCUCUUUUGGCGGGGAAGAUAAUGACGGUACCCGCAGAAUAAGCUCCGGCUAACUUCGUGCCAGCAGCCGCGGUAAUACGAAGGGAGCUAGCGUUGUUCGGAAUCACUGGGCGUAAAGCGCACGUAGGCGGAUGUGUCAGUCAGGGGUGAAAUCCCGGAGCUCAACUUCGGAACUGCCCUUGAUACAGCACGUCUUGAGUCCGAUAGAGGUGGGUGGAAUUCCUAGUGUAGAGGUGAAAUUCGUAGAUAUUAGGAAGAACACCGGUGGCGAAGGCGGCCCACUGGAUCAGUACUGACACUCAAGUGCGAAAGCGUGGGGAGCAAACAGGAUUAGAUACCCACGUAGUCCCUGAGCGGGCUGGCAAGGCGCAU
rnacentral:rRNA from 1 species